GACGGAGGAGGCAAGCGUUAUCCGGAAUUAUUGGGCGUAAAGCGUCCGCAGGUGGCCUAUCAAGUCUGUUGUUAAAGCCCAGGGCUCAACUCUGGAUCAGCAAUGGAAACUGAAAGGCUAGAGUACGGUAGGGGUAGAGGGAAUUCCCAGUGUAGCGGUGAAAUGCGUAGAUAUUGGGAAGAACACCAGUGGCGAAGGCGCUCUGCUGGGCCGUAACUGACACUCAUGGACGAAAGCUAGGGGAGCGAAAGGG
rnacentral:rRNA from 1 species